rnacentral:rRNA from 1 species
UACGAAGGGUGCAAACGUUGCUCGGAAUUACUGGGCGUAAAGGGCUCGUAGGCGGCCAACUAAGUCGGAUGUGAAAUCCCCAGGCUUAACCUGGGAACUGCAUCCGAUACUGGAUGGCUUGAAUUCGGGAGAGGGAUGCAGAAUUCCAGGUGUAGCGGUGAAAUGCGUAGAUAUCUGGAGGAAUACCGGUGGCGAAGGCGGCAUCCUGGACCGAGAUUGACGCUGAUGAGCGAAAGCUAGGGGAGCAAACGGG